AUGAAGUUUAGAAAGCCAAAGUCAUGGCUUUUACAUUCGGCCAAGCUUAGAUUCUCAAUUAGGAUCAAGAUAAACAAAUACCGGAACUUGAUCGGGGGAAACAAAAGUUAGACGGGUAGACGAAAUUAUACGAGCAAUUACGAGACUUCGGAAGCUAGCUCGAUUUUGGACUAGGUCGGAGAUUUGCUAUCACACUAUCCAAGCAAUUUUCGGUACUUUUGGACCUUUUGUAAAUAACGUAAAUAUGACAUGUAUAGUUAAUUUUUUGUAUGAAUUUUGGGGUUUGAUCAAGUUAUGUGAUAUGACUUGAGUUGGAAAUGUUUAGUUUAGAAUGGAAACAUUAUGUGUUAUGUUCAUUUUGGGUGCACUUUGAUAA